rnacentral:rRNA from 1 species
AACGAACGCUGGCGGCAUGCCUAACACAUGCAAGUCGAACGAGACCUUCGGGUCUAGUGGCGCACGGGUGCGUAACGCGUGGGAACCUGCCCUUAGGUUCGGAAUAACUCCACGAAAGGGGUGCUAAUAAAGGAUAAUGUCUUCGGACCAAAGAUUUAUCGCCUUUGGAUGGGCCCGCGUUGGAUUAGCUUUUUGGUAGGGUAAAAGCCUACCAAGGCGCCGAUCCAAAGCUGGUCUGAGAGGAUGAUCAGCCACGCUGGGAUUGAGACACGGCCCAUACCCUUACGGGUGGGAUCAAGGUGGAAGUUGAAACAAGGGGCGAAGGCCGGAGCCAGCAUGUCCGUGGGAUUAUUGAAGGCUUUAGGUUUGUAAACCUCUUUACCCGGGAUGAUAAUGACAGUACCGGGAGAAUAAGCUCCGACUAACUCCGUG